GUAGCACAGAGAGCUUGCUCUCGGGUGACGAGCGGCGGACGGGUGAGUAAUGUCUGGGAAACUGCCUGAUGGAGGGGGAUAACUACUGGAAACGGUAGCUAAUACCGCAUAAUGUCGCAAGACCAAAGUGGGGGACCUUCGGGCCUCAUGCCAUCAGAUGUGCCCAGAUGGGAUUAGCUAGUAGGUGGGGUAACGGCUCACCUAGGCGACGAUCCCUAGCUGGUCUGAGAGGAUGACCAGCCACACUGGAACUGAGACACGGUCCAGACUCCUACGGGAGGCAGCAGUGGGGAAUAUUGCACAAUGGGCGCAAGCCUGAUGCAGCCAUGCCGCGUGUGUGAAGAAGGCCUUCGGGUUGUAAAGCACUUUCAGCGGGGAGGAAGGCGAGAAGGUUAAUAACCUUGUCGAUUGACGUUACCCGCAGAAGAAGCACCGGCUAACUCCGUGCCAGCAGCCGCGGUAAUACGGAGGGUGCAAGCG
rnacentral:rRNA from 1 species